rnacentral:rRNA from 1 species
UACAGAGGUCUCAAGCGUUGUUCGGAUUCAUUGGGCGUAAAGGGUGCGUAGGUGGCGGGGCAAGUCUGGUGUGAAAUCUCGGAGCUCAACUCCGAAACUGCACUGGAUACUGCCUUGCUCGAGUACUGGAGAGGGGAUUGGAAUUUACGGUGUAGCAGUGAAAUGCGUAGAUAUCGUAAGGAAGACCAGUGGCGAAGGCGAAUCUCUGGACAGUUACUGACACUGAGGCACGAAGGCCAGGGGAGCAAACGGG